rnacentral:rRNA from 1 species
GACGAACGCUGGCGGCGUGCCUAAUACAUGCAAGUAGAACGCUGAAGGAGGAGCUUGCUUCUCCGGAUGAGUUGCGAACGGGUGAGUAACGCGUAGGUAACCUGCCUGGUAGCGGGGGAUAACUAUUGGAAACGAUAGCUAAUACCGCAUAAGAGUAGAUGUUGCAUGACAUUUGCUUAAAAGGUGCAAUUGCAUCACUACCAGAUGGACCUGCGUUGUAUUAGCUAGUUGGUGGGGUAACGGCUCACCAAGGCGACGAUACAUAGCCGACCUGAGAGGGUGAUCGGCCACACUGGGACUGAGACACGGCCCAGACUCCUACGGGAGGCAGCAGUAGGGAAUCUUCGGCAAUGGACGGAAGUCUGACCGAGCAACGCCGCGUGAGUGAAGAAGGUUUUCGGAUCGUAAAGCUCUGUUGUAAGAGAAGAACGAGUGUGAGAGUGGAAAGUUCACACUGUGACGGUAUCUUACCAGAAAGGGACGGCUAACUACGUGCCAGCAGCCGCGGUAAUACGUAGGUCCCGAGCGUUGUCCGGAUUUAUUGGGCGUAAGGCGAGCGCAGGCGGUUAGAUAAGUCUGAAGUUAAAGGCUGUGGCUUAACCAUAGUACGCUUUGGAAACUGUUUAACUUGAGUGCAAGAGGGGAGAGUGGAAUUCCAUGUGUAGCGGUGAAAUGCGUAGAUAUAUGGAGGAACACCGGUGGCGAAAGCGGCUCUCUGGCUUGUAACUGACGCUGAGGCUCGAAAGCGUGGGGAGCAAACAGG